rnacentral:rRNA from 1 species
AAACCAGCACCUCAAGUGGUCAGGAUGAUUAUUGGGCCUAAAGCAUCCGUAGCCGGCUCUGUAAGUUUUCGGUUAAAUCUGUACGCUCAACGUACAGGCUGCUGGGAAUACUGCAGAGCUAGGGAGUGAGAGAGGUAGACGGUACUCGGGAGGAAGUGGUAAAAUGCUUUGAUCUCUCGAUGACCACCUGUGGUGAAGGCGGUCUACCAGAACACGUCCGACGGUGAGGGAUGAAAGCUGGGGGAGCAAACCGAAUUAGAUACCCGAGUAGUCC